GUUUGUUUCUUUGAGUAUUUCUUGCCUGGUGGGGGUUGUGUUUUAGGUUACUUUUUGAAGGCUUAGGGCUUUGAAAGGUUUAGGGACGAAAUUGAUCGGCUUUUGAGUUCAACAACCAAAAUGACCAAAGGUGUUUGCUUAUCCUUUGACCUCCUUGCAGAGUACUGAGAGGCAUGUUAAUCCUUGCAUGAUUAAAUGAACUUAGAAAUUCAAUAACUCAAAACCAUGUACUCAUACAAUUACAAAACUAUUUACAAUUAUAAAUUGUCAAGAGCUCGGUGCUCUGUAAAUUUUUGUUCCAAAUGCUUGUACUCUUUUUUGGUUUUCAGCAAGGGUAACAUUCAAGAAAAAGGCUGCUCCCAAUUAUUUCCUUUA